rnacentral:ncRNA from 1 species
UAAAAAGCUGUGAGCAGGACGAGUACAUUUGUACACUUCAGUUCAGCGAGCCGGUGACCGGAUUUCCGGAGGUGUGAUGACCGGCCUGGAGAGCAUAUGGAAUGGACCUGUGAGCUGUCCACCGAAAGCAACUGCAAGUAGGCUGGGCCGGCUGCCGCCGUUAGCAGGCUAGGGUAUCGGAUUUUUGUCCCGUACCUGAAUAAGGAAAAGUGCAGACUUUUCAAAUAGGGUGGUAUCGCGACCAUUUCGCCCCUGGGGUGAAGUGGUCUUUUUAUUUACCCAAUUGACUGUAUUUUUCAAAAUAGGGUGGUACCGCGGACCAUUUCGCCCCUUUC